AUCGCUUCUCGGCCUUUUGGCUAAGAUCAAGUGUAGUCGAGAAAGUUUAUACUGAAUUUAUGUGAAAAUAAGUCAUUCUGAAUUAAAAGCCCAUAUUUUCUUUAACAUAUGCAACAUACCUUUGUUUCUGAUUUAUGCAUACAAAAUGGUUUGAUCUCUG
rnacentral:snRNA from 1 species